GGUAGAUUAUUCCAGAUAAAUAUUCAGCAGGCUGAAGUAAGUGGCUAGACCACAGGUAUUUGGAGGCUCUAAACAUGGUGUAUGCACUGCCUGACUAAAAUAGCUUCUCAACAGCUCUUGUAUGUGUUUUCAGGGAAGAUAUCCUCCUGAUUAAGGACCUCAGGUCACUUGUGGAAAGGUCAGCCAACAUCUUGUUCUCAUUCAAAGACGGAGAGACGAGGUCCUGAGCAUCACAGCUGACUGUGUUCAUUGUGUGUGCGAGUGGGAACAGCUGGACAUUGUCUAACAAUCAUCCUUAUGGGCACAGGCCACAUCUGAGCAGCUAAGCAGCCUCUAAGGUCCUCCAGAUUCCCUUUCUACAGGAAAUGAAAGCAAUCUGGUCUGGAAGAUAAAAGCAAUAUAUUCUGUAAACAGGAAAAGUCAGUCUUAUGGGAAUUGCUGUUAAUAUGGCAGUGCUGGGCACUGCUUCCAGCCAGUUAAACCACCCAUGCUGUCAGAUGGUACUGGGGCUGUGUCCCCCACCAGGAACACAGGACCACAAGGCAUGUGGUGUCAAUGACAUGGACACCCACCUUGCAGUGCACCACGCACCUCCAGCUUUCUCCUGUCCCUAUUUGGAUUAUUUCCAUCACUACCCAGACUCAAAAUUCUCAGAAUUAAAACAUGCCAUUAGUAGUCAGUUCAGCACAUCAUGCCCUGAAGUGCAGUCAGGAUGACUCAUAGUGCAAUUUUCUUGUCCAGCUCUUGUAUUGAGAACCAUAAAUCAGUGGGGUCACUGUCUUAGCUUUUGUCUUGUUGUCCCCAUAAUAUUUCUACUUGCACAUCAUAUGCCUUAAAGGACUCUAGACAUCCAUGCCCCUGGUCUUUCUGAAAGUCUCUGGACUUUGAAUACUUACAUGCAAAUGGGGUCACCAUACCACAGAUCAUUAACUAGCAUUGAAUCCUUUAAAUAUCACUUGCAGUAGAAGAUCCUAAGGGUCAUUCUCAUUCCUCUGUGAAUUUAUCCCACAGCUAAAAUUCAUGCUUUGUUUUUUUUUUAAAGUGCAACAGUAGCCAAAGUGCACACUUUCAUCUGUUAACCUUAUAUUGAUGGAGACAGGACAAACAGUGCUAAAUUCCAACCUGAGUUCAACCUGUUCUCUUCAGUGUAGAUGAAUGUACAGAGCUGGGAACUCACUUUGACUCAAGCAUGAGAAAUAGCAAAGAUGUGUAAAAAACACCUGUGAUUAUGUAUGAAUUGCACAUAUGAAAAAUUAUGGUAAUGCAAGUCUAUCCAUCAAGAAAAUGACAGCCUACAGAAAGUGUAACUUUCAGCCUCCUUCUUUCCCAUCAGUGACAUGAAUUGUUUUGUAAACAUUGGCUGACCACUCACUACAUUGACUGCCUACAGAGCUUCUCUUCAGAUUCAUGCUCCCAUUAAAAGGCUUAAAAAAAUUGUGGAGGCAAGGAAUGUACUUGACUACUGAAUUACUUUGGCAUGAAGGAUCUCUCUGUAACAAGAAAUGU